AGUUCAUUUAUUUUAUUUUUAUUUAAUGAACCUAUACUUUAUAACCACAGGUUUUUAAGAAAGCUAUUGUGUAAAAGCCUACUGGAAAACAUUGCACUCUGAUAAGAGGAAGUAGUUCUACUGACCAACAGAAGUAUUGCAAAGCAUACUGGAAUUGAAAGUAAAGGGGGCCAAGUGUUCAAGAGAACUCAGAGAACAUUAGUGGUCAGUCAGCACAGCAAGACGGAGCUGCUUUUAUCAACAUAUUACUCUACACUGGUAAUAGACAAGGCAUUAUGACCUCCUACAUUGUGUCUGUCCUUUUCUUCUGGAGACUGGCUCCUGAAUUUUUAGAGUUUAACCCAUACCCUUGCAUGGCUUCGUUUGAUUGGAACGCUUACAAUAGGUUUCUGGCAAAGCAUGUACGUUCAGACGCCCCAGAUAACCUUGACCAAAACCGGUGGCAAGCUUUUAUUAAACAAAUAGGAACAUGCGAUCGACCAGUUCAGUCUUUUAUUCCAUUUGCACAGAAGCAACAAGUGGAUAAUGUUUGCUCUCCUUCUGGAGGUGCAAUAUACAGUAGUGACAUGUGUGUCAGCAGACAGCAAUUCACCUUCACUACCGUUUUUGUGGACAACAACUGUAUUGUAUACAAUGUCAUCCAAGAGACUAAAUAUCUUUUAUUGGCUUGUGAUCAGCUGGGGGAUUCCUGCCUCCCUGUGCAUUUUCAACCCAAUCGAGACAAUGUUGGACCAGACAACAAACCAGCCUGCGAAAAUCCAAAUAUACAGAACCAGGCACAAUUUGUACAUCUUAAUCUUGUACUUCUAAUAUUCACAUUGCUGUCAACGGCCUUAGUCAACUUCAUGUGAUCAUCAGGAUUAUUAAGGUGACAUAGUCUGGAAGGAUUUCUAUAAAAAAAACAA